AUUGAAUAUCGGUGUUAGACAAAAUUGGCGAUAUUAUAUAGAUUAAAAAGUUAUCGCACGUAACUUAGUAAAAGUUAUCGCACUUAGUAAACUAUUACAUCUACAUGCCUACUGAGAGAACAAACCAGUCCAACUUAUAAACCACCUCCACCAAAAAAUGGCUCAAAAUCACCCUGCAAGAUGCUCGAUUUCAUUAAACACAUUGGCAUUUUUGAUAGCUUAUGUAUCUUUAUGCAUCAUAGCUCCAUCAGCUGAAGCUAGAGGCUAUCCCCUGCAACCGGACUACAUGCCAACUGCUUUUGACCAGGGCCAACUACUAACACUUGUGCCAUCUGGACCCUACAUGGCCGAGCCAAACUACGUGCCCUACAUGAAUUAUCA